UACGUAGGGGGCAAGCGUUGUCCGGAUUUAUUGGGCGUAAAGAGCGUGUAGGCGGCCUGACAGGUCUGCUGUGAAAACUCGAGGCUCAACCUCGAGAUGUCGGCGGAAACCGUCUGGCUAGAGUCCGGAAGAGGAGAGUGGAAUUCCUGGUGUAGCGGUGAAAUGCGUAGAGAUCGGAAGGAACGUCAAUGGCGAAGGCAGCCACCUGGCAUCAUACUGAGCUGAGGCGCGAGAGCGUGGGGAGCGAACAGG
rnacentral:rRNA from 1 species